CACUUCUAAUGAGUAGCUGAUCAGACUGCAUUGCACAUUCAAUUAGCUUAAUAAAUAGCCUUCAUUUCACUUCUGCGUACAGAGGGAACUGGGGCUGUGUGAGUAAACUAUACAUGUAUGUUUUAAACAUAUAGAUAGAUAUAUAAACAUAUAUGUGCAUAUUAAAUAGGAGAGAGAGGGAGAUAGCUCUGUACACAUGUGUGCCUAUAUAUAGUGACUGCCUAUAGACAGAGAAUACCAGUGUUCUUAGAAUGUCUGUGUUUCUGUAUCAUUCUGUGUGAAUAGAAUUCCGGAGAAGUCAUGUAGUUACAAUGUGACAGGUUUUCAGUGACUUUGUCUCCUUGAGUUGGACCCUCUUGUCCCUGUGCCUCGUGUGAGCUUUUUUUUCUUUGUCCUGUGACCUUGGGCAAGCUGUACAGCUGAUCUGCUAUGUCUGUCAUAGAAAUAUGUAGGACACGUGUGAGUGACACCAACGAACAGCCAAGAGAAAGUACCAUGUCCUUCAAACGACCUUCACUCCAAGAACGCCUUCUUGCAGCCAAUCCAAGUACUCCCUGCUGGAGGAAACAGCGUUAGCAGGAUCGGUGCACUUCUAAGAAAAUCACAUAAAUUCAAUCGAGCGUUACACAUAUAUUUUUUU